CAGCUCCUCAUGGAGGUUCAGACCAACAACACACUUCAGAAACCCGUCAUCAGUGUUAGUGAAAAUGAGGAUCUGCUCAGCAUAUCAUGUGAUAUACCAGCUUCAGACAGAGCUGAUGUGUCCUGUAAUCUCUACACUGUAGAUGGAGCUCUUCUGACCAGCCGUGACUCUCAGUGGAGUUCAUCUGGAGAGCAACAUCUUUGUAUGUUUUAUCAAAAUCUUAGUGAUCUCUUGAGAAGAUCAGGACACAUCAGACAGUUGAGCUGUGAUUAUUCACUCAAGACUAAACCUGGCAUCAGAUCUCCACACAGUGACCCAUACACACUCAGAGUGCUAGACCUCCAUUUCACGACAGACCUGCCAACCAGCACAACAAAGCAAACAAUAUUUUUAACAACAAGGUCCCGUCGACACUCUGCUUCACCAAUCGACAAAGAAACAUCAACAAUCACUGUCAUUUCCACGACUGAAUCCUCAAUGUCCACAAAACACGGUAACUUCUUUAACACUAAUAUUACUAGAUUUCUAUAACUACCUACCAAAUGUCAUUAUUCAAGUCAUACUGUAUUUACAUUUGAAUCUUCUAUUGAGGUUCUAGCAUUAAGCUGAAAAUGUCUGCCACUACAUUUUAAGGUGUUUAUGUGUAAUAUUUAAGAAAAGGAAAAAUAUAGCAUGAAAUUGUUGCUACAUUAAUGGGUUGAAAGGAUGACUGUUCAGAAUUUUUCAUUUUUUACUUGUGUUGUAGCCGGGUCUGAAUAGAUUGUCUUUCCAAACAUGCAAAAAUGAACAAUUAGAGAAAAAACGCAUUGAUUCAGUAAAAUUAUUUUAUAAUAUAUUGUACAUUUAAUGAUAGGUCAUCCUGGCACUUAAAUAUUCAG
rnacentral:lncRNA from 1 species